rnacentral:rRNA from 1 species
GACGAACGCUGGCGGCGUGCCUAAUACAUGCAAGUAGAACGCACAGUUUAUACCGUAGCUUGCUACACCAUAGACUGUGAGUUGCGAACGGGUGAGUAACGCGUAGGUAAUCUGCUUGGGAGCAGGGGAUAACUAUUGGAAACGAUAGCUAAUACCGCAUAAUAUUGAUUAUUGCAUGAUAAUUGAUUGAAAGAUGCUAUUGCAUCACUACCAGAUGGACCUGCGUUGUAUUAGCUAGUAGGUGAGGUUACGGCUCAACUAGGCGACGGUACAUAGCCGAACUGAGAGGGUGAUCGGCCCAACUGGGAAUGGGACACGGCCCAGAAUCCUACGGGAGGCAGCAGUAGGGAAUCUUUGGGAAUAGACGAAAGUCUGACCGAGCAACGCCGCGGGAGUGAAGAAGGGUCUCGGAUCGUAAAGAUCUGUUGUAAGAGAAGAACGGGUGUGAGAGUGGAAAGUUCACGCUGUGACGGUAUCUAAUCAGAAAGGGACGGCUAACUACGUG